AGGAAACGAACAAGAUUGGUUCAUCCCUGGAGAGAUGCCACGGAUGUGCUCUGUCAGAGCUGCCGUUACAACACGGAUCAUUGACUCACGGCCAGGUGCCCUGUUGGUUACCAUGCCCUCCGGGACAGAAAAUAAGGUCUGAGCUAUGCUGUUCCUUUCUCGGAGCCCUGCGCUCAGCAUAGGUGCACGUCCACCACGGCGGGAUUCACCCUUUGUCCCUGCUUCCACCAUUUCCUUCUACAGCAGCCAGAAUCAGGCUGGGGCUCUAGGGGAGAAAACGCCUCUUUGAAUGUGAGCAGGAAGCUGCGGCCUCUAUAGAAAGGAUGCUCCUUCAAGGGGAGAUUUCUGUAUUUCUUGGGCCUGUCCCAUGCUCUUGGAACAUUUGUGCCUUAAAUGAAGUGAACCAUAUGAGAU